UCAGUUCGGAUUGAAGGCUGAAAUUCGCCUUCAUGAAGCCGGAAUUGCUAGUAAUGGCAGGUCAGCAUACUGCCGUGAAUACGUUCCCGGGCCCUUGUACACACCGCCCGUCACACCAUGAGAGUUGGGAAUACCCGAAGCCUGUGAGCUAACGUAAGAGGCAGCAGUCGAAGGUAGAAUCAAUGAUUGGGGUGAAGUCGUAACAAGGUAAC
rnacentral:rRNA from 1 species